AAUAUCAUUACUCAUACUGAAACUUACAAAGUCAUCUUUUUGAAGAUCGAAGAAAUUCCCCGGCUUUGAUAAAAUUUUUAAUCUACUUUUGUCCUUGUAAUUGACAUAGACCCCAGUUCUCUAAUAAAAUGAGGAUACUCC
rnacentral:tRNA from 1 species